GGAAUUGUAGUUCAAUUGGACAGAGACCGCCCUGUCAAGGCGGAAGCUACGGGUUCGAGCCCCGUCAGUCCCG
rnacentral:tRNA from 1 species